CCAAGUGGGCCAGAGGCUUCUAGGAAGUUCGAGCCUCCCUUCCCCUCUUCCUCUCCCUUAUAAGCCAUAUCCCAGAAACCAUGCCAAGAGGAGCUUGAGGUGUGGCUGUAGGAGAGGCAAGAGUUAUGGAGCAGUAUGUUAUAUGCUCCCUUCCAAGACCAGACCCAGGCUAAUUUGAAGUCCCAUACCCUCUAGCUAUGUCUACUGUCAAGAUGUGUAUCUGUGAAAUCUACUGGAAGAUUUCAUUGAGCUAAUAAAAGCAUUAGGAGUAUAGUCAAUAAAAUGAGCUUUUAACAACAUGGAAAAUUGCUUAGGCCAUAAGAAACAAAACCAAGGGCAUAUACAAGUAAAAAAAAAAUGCUUAGAAAAUAAGAUUUGAAAAAAAUACACCAAAAUAUUGACACUUCUAGGCUGGAAGUACUCAGGACUACUGCUCUAUCCUGCCCAGUCAACAUUCUCCCUUCAGAAAAUAAUCCCCUAUAUUUGCUUUGGUGAACCACCCUCCCCUCAUUCUCAGACAAGUGUCCUGGGUGAAGCUACAGAUGUGGAACCCAGUGCACUAAAGCUAAUCAUCUUAUCUCAUUCCCCUGCCAUAAUCUGUGCAUGGACAUGUAGCCUAAUUAGAGCCAAUGAGACAUGAGGAAAUGUUUACUACUAGACUUUGGUGGAAAGGAAGCUUUCACUCUUCUAUUGAAAUGGUGUAUGAUGCUAAGUUUCAAACUGCUACAGUCACUUGUCAUCAUAGAGUGAAAGCAUGGUAAUGACUCAGGUGACCACAGAGUAGAGUCCAAGGCUCCAGACAUACUGUCCAAUCCAAGUAAAGAGAUAGAAGCCAGGUCCUUUGUGACAUCAUUUGAGCCAUUGGAUCAAAGCUUGCCUAGAGCCUCUGGACUUGUCAGAAGUGGUAUUGGGUUAUUUUGUCACUUGCAGUGUACCUAAUGUAGCACCCAAGAACCACAUGGGUCUAUUGGUCAUCUCAACAGAUGCCAGGCCAUGUCAAGACUAAGGACAGAAGCCCUUUCCUGCUGACCCAGGAGUUAGCCUAACACUGGAGAAAAGGAAGUAGAAGAGAUCAUCUGGAGUCAUUUGCAUUCUUUGUUGUGGAGUAAUUUCAUCUGAUGACUGGAUUCAAGGAGUGGCUACAUCUGUGGGUUUCUGACAGAGUGAAGUUGAAGAUGAUUGGAACAGAGAAAGAUGAGAAAUUGUGAGAUAAAGAAACCAAGAUGACCUGCCAAAGGUUACAGACAUGGUAAGGGACAGCACCAGGAUGCAACCUCAGGUCAUCUGGAAGCAGAAGGUAUACUUAACCACUACACAUUGCCUCUAAAUAAAUGUUUGCUAGAUCUAAAUAAAAAUUUUAACUUAACUAGAUGUUAUAUGUUUGUUUUAAACACCCCUAUAAAUGGCAGGACUAGAAUACAAUCCAGCCACACUCUGUAAAUUAGCCAUGGGAUGAUGAGGAACAGCAAGCUGAACACACUGAAGCCUUGUCUAUGUCAGAGUGCCAUCUCCAAGUUUGCUUGGGACUCCCUUAACACUAGACCUACUUCUCUGUCUUUUAAAAAUUAUCUGAACAACAAAAAGAUCAUAGU